UCACUUUCUGCAGAGGACAUGGGUCUGAUCAUUCUUGUCUUGACCUCGCAUCCAAGCACCUGAGGAACGAAUACGGUGGCUUCAGCGGUCGUCAUGCCAUUGACACCGCUGGCAGUCUAACACCCCCCAGGCAUUGAGAGCGGGCUGCAAGAGCAGAGGUGCUCCGGCGAGGCAAUUGGGGCCAUCCCCGCCGCCGUCAAUAAGCACGGCUAGGCAGCCUAAAUUGCCGGAAGC
rnacentral:lncRNA from 1 species